AGCGGGAGGAGCAGGGAUCUAAGACUUGGAGAUCAAAUGUCAAGCUCAGAAGAAAGACUGGAAGUUUGGGGACAAAACCCAAAUAUGGCUAAAGAAAGCCUGUAGGAUGAAGUUGGAAGUUCCAGAGCCUUCUCUUCACAUAAUGGGACAUGCAAGGGGGAAACCAAAUCAAAAGUGUAGAAUGCGUCGCUGGAUGUCUUUGACAUGAUGAGGAAACCAAGGCACAGGGAGAUGAAAUAACUUACCCGAGGUCUUUCGCCUGGCAAAAUGACAGAGCUGGGAUUUGAAUCUAGGCAGUGUGGCUCCAAUUCCACGUUCCUAACCACCAUGCUCUAUCUACUGCUGGCCAGAAAAGAUCCUCCCACAUGAUCCAGUCUUCAAAGCCAGCAAAGGCACGUGCAAGCUUUCUUGUGCUUUGAAUCUCUCUGACUUUCCUUCCGCUACCAGACAGGAAAAACUCUACUUUUAAAGGUUUCACCUAAUUGGGUCAGGCCUACCUGAAUAAUUUUUGUAAUUAAAGUUGACUGACUUGCCACUUUAA